rnacentral:rRNA from 1 species
AACGAACGCUGGCGGCAUGCCUAACACAUGCAAGUCGAACGAGACCUUCGGGUCUAGUGGCGCACGGGUGCGUAACGCGUGGGAACCUGCCCUUAGGUUCGGAAUAACUCCCCGAAAGGGGUGCUAAUACCGGAUAAUGUCUUCGGACCAAAGAUUUAUCGCCUUUGGAUGGGCCCGCGUUGGAUUAGCUAGUUGGUAGGGUAAAAGCCUACCAAGGCGACGAUCCAUAGCUGGUCUGAGAGGAUGAUCAGCCACACUGGGACUGAGACACGGCCCAGACCCCUACGGGGGGGCGCAGGGGGGAAUUUUGGAAAAUGGGCGAAGGCCUGAUCCAGAAAUGCCGGGUGGGUGAUGAAGGCCUGAGGGUUGUAAAGCUCUUUUCCCCGGGAUGAUAAUGACAGUACCGGGAGAAAAAGCCCCGGCUAACCCCGU